rnacentral:rRNA from 1 species
UACGUAGGGUGCGAGCGUUUAAUCGGAAUUACUGGGCGUAAAGGGCUCGUAGGCGGCCAACUAAGUCAUACGUGAAAUCCCUCGGCUUAACCGGGGAACUGCGUCUGAUACUGGAUGGCUUGAGAUUGGGAGAGGGAUGCGGAAUUCCAGGUGUAGCGGUGAAAUGCGUAGAUAUCUGGAGGAACACCGGUGGCGAAGGCGGCAUCCUGGACCAACACUGACGCUGAGGAGCGAAAGCCAGGGGAGCAAACGGG